UUAGAUAAGACUGUCCGGUUUGGUUUUCGGAAGCCAUCUGUGAAUUAAAGCAUGCAUAGAAGGCAGAAAGCUUCUAACUUUUCUGGGAACCUUUCAGGGUGGCCAUUGUCAGCAAAUUAUAGGUAACUAAUUGUCAGGCUUAUUUGGUUUAUGUGUUAACGCAGUUGAUGGGUGUGUUUCAACUGGUCUUUGGAGGCCUUGCUUUGCUAGUUGUAGGUUUCAAUUUUUGUCGCGGGGUAAGACUUUGCAAAUGCGUGAGCAGGGCUGCAAGCUCACGAGCGUCUUCCGAACACACACUGUGUGGUGAUGCAGCUUCAGGUUCCAAGAACGAAUGAAUACAAAUACCCACUUCCCAGCGGGGAUUUACACUCCUCCGUGUGGGGCUUUGAGAAAGACCAGAUCAAAAUCUCUUCGAGUGCACUCGUCUAACAGGCUGCAAAGACCACAAUCAACAAAUGAAGGCAGAUUAUUCAGGAGGAUAUUAGACUGGAAAUGCUCUAAUGCGAGACCAAACUCCAGAAGAUCUCAGCAGCCUGCAACAGUCGAUGCAAACGAUCUUGUCAAGCAGAUGCGGAGCUUAAAUAUUAAGAAUACUGAGUCCGCUCGAGACUGCAGGGCUCAGGAGAAGACGAUCAAGAAGAGAACACGUUUCGUGGUAACUGAUCUCAGCUCCAACAAUCUUGCCCGUCAUGAUGAAAAAUUUUACCGUCCGCUGACUGGCCGCGAGAAGCAGCGGCGCAUCUCCGUCUGGGUGCAGAACGUGGAGCGGCAGCGGGCGGGCGCUGGUGGCGCCGCCCACUCGGCCUGCGACUCGCCCAGCACCGAGACCACUGGCGCCCUCUCGGCGUCGCUAGUGAGCCAGCAGGGCUCGUCGGGACGCGCCGGGGCGGCGGUGCAGCGCCUCAGCCCGCCCGCCACCCACCUGGCAGUGCACCGCAGCCUCUCGGAGCAGCGCGGCGCGUGAUGGCGGCGCCCAGCGAACCGAGCGACCCCGACCUCCGCUCACAGCCGCGCAGCGACACGAACGGCCCGGCCGAGCGAGAGCGAAUCUCGAGCGAUGUCAGUAGACAUGCAUAUAAAGGACUGAUUGCGUCUGAGCCUCGUGGUCGCAGCGAGAUGUGAUGGUCAGUUGUGUCAUGCAUGUGCACGACUUUUGAGAAGUCGAAUCAUUCUAUACGAAACUUAAGACAGUAAGGCGUGCAGUUGCACUGGAUACUUUUAUUGUUCCACUGAUCUGAUAUAUGAGUGAUCCAUCAUCUCAGUGAAAAAGGCUCAAAGAGAAGUACUGUCACGGUGCUUCUGCUCGUAAGGGUCAAUUCUUACAUAAAAUCUGCAGAUUUUUUUUUAGAUGCCUUCUGUUAUGGCCAAACACCUUAAUCAUUGUCCGGCAAAAUGGUGUACACAGCGCAGCCGAAUGCAUUUCGACAAUAAACAAUGCGCUCUGCGCAGAUUACCGUC